GAGGUCUAAAAAGAAAAACAGAAUACAAUGCAUUAGUUAAUGAUUUAAUCUUGACCGCGAUUUUAAUGCCGUGCGUUUCAAUCUGAGCAUCAGAUUUAUUUUUAAAGAGCUUAAUGGGUAAAUCCUCAACUAAGUAAUACCUGUUUAUUAUUUUUAAAACUGCAAUUGUUAAUUCAUGCCCAGCGUUUGCUUUGGUAUGUGCUGUACUUUUCCAAGCUGCAUAUACACAAUCUGUAGAGUUAUUUUCAAAGCUUGAGCUGAGGCAGAAUUAAUAAUUAACCAACGUGAUAAAGCUUUACUAAAUAGGCCAAAGAGCAGAAGUGACAGCAUUAGUUUUGUUUGGAAAUACCACCUUUUGCCCUAUUUGGUUCUCUUUGAAGUUGGCAAGGUAGAUAGUAAUAUUUGCACAAAAAAUGUUUUUCAAAAAUAAGAGAAACUGCACACGCAUAUUUUAAUCUUUAGUCCUCUGCUGCCUGCAGGCUAGUUAGUGCUUUCUGCUCAUGGGUCUUUAUCAGUGUGUUUUAGGUUCCUCUUUCUUCUUUUUAUUUAAUAAAGGUGGUGAUGGGGAGAUGCUAGUCUUGGCUUAUAUUAAAUUCAAAUGCAUAAAUAAAUAGUCAGCUCCUGGCAAGCAGAGCUGCACAGUGAGCAGCUCCCACACUUGCUGCAAUGUGCCAUGCAUAGCAGCAGGCUCCUUUAUGUCCAUUAAAGACAACUUUUUGCUGAAAAUAAGUGUUUUAAAGUGAGAUAUCAACACAGUAGUCAGACUUGGUACUCUGGUGAGUUUGAGCAAUGUCACCCUCACUGUGGAAGAGUGACAGGAGAAGGACUGGACUUCCAGUAAGGAAGCAAGCAUUUGAAACCCUCAGCUACUACAGAACCCUCAGCACGUGCUUAAGCAAUCUGAGUUUAGACACUGGCCCCAAGUUCUUUCCUGGUUCACUCAUUCCUUAAUGGGAAAUCCUUUAGUAGUUGGUGCUACAACAGCUGGUGCUGGAUCAAAACUGCCUUUAGACAGAACCAGCACGUGCACAGCUCUAGCGAGGUCAGUGUGUUUACAAAUACUACUUACAGUCCUGCUUUAUCACCUACAAGCAAAAGUUACACUGUAUGUUAGGUUCAGAAAAACUUCUGUUGUCUUUUUAUAGUAAGACUAGCUUCUUUGGCAACUCUCAAAUGCCUUAUUUCACUUAAAAUAUGCAACUUUUACCAUUUUUACCAGUCCCCUCUAACACUCCUUAUUUGUACUUAUAUGACGGAUGUAUGUUUACUGCCUGCACUAAUUCACACACAUUUCUUUCUGACAGGAUUCUGGGAUUCCCUUUGCAACGUAUGUUAGCGUAUACAGGGGUGAGAAGCCAUGAAGGACAGGGCUGCUGCUACGGUUCUCCCGUGCUCCCUGAUAACAAAUCCUUCUUAGCAGGCUGAAGCAGCACGCCAAACUAACACUAAGAUGACAUCGAACAUUGAUGCAAGAAACAGCGCUUUGUAUCUUCGAUGGAAACACCACUUCUGCAUUCAGAGAUUAAACUAUUCCAGUGGAAGACUAAGGUACAGCAGCUCAUAGCAGGUUGGGGGUUUUUUUGGCACAGCUGUUAAUGUGUACUUUUCUACUCUCGUACUGAAAUAGUUUGCACUUCCAUGUUUCUUCCGUACAAGUCCAAAAUAGUUUCUUAUUGGGGUUAUCAGUUAAAUUUGACCCCUGUGUUAGGAACACGAUCCCUUGGCUGCAAAGCUAUAGCUGAAUAAAGGGCUUUUGUGCAAAGAGGUCAGAAUGAGGAGCCCCUGGGACAAGGGCUGGUGGUGAGAACAGGAGAAAAAAGCAAAGCAGGCCGAUUUAGCUAUAAACAUGUUUGAUGAUGCCAAGAAUUAUGUGUUUACAUCAAUUAUGCCCUCCCCCUCUUACAGCAUGGUGUUGCAUAAUAUACUGGUGUGACUUGGGUAGAAAUUGGGUGGUUUCUGACAGAUACUAAAUAAAGACAAUUAUUAAUA